UCAGCCGGGAAGCAAACAGCCAAGAAGCAGCCAGAAACCUUUUCUUAAAACCCUUCUCAGCUGUUAUCUGCUGUUUGACCCACACUCAGAUCCCCUCUGAGCUACAGGGUCUCUGGGAGGGCUCCAAAAGCAAGUAAAAGGGGCUUGGGGCUUUGUACAAGGGUAAAAGUGUGGACUUUAUGUAGGCGUAACCUCCAUCAGCCUGAAGCACUGCAAAGAGCCCUACCCCCUAUUAUGUGAAUUAGUUGGAGAGUAAACCAGCAGAGCAAGAGGUUUGUGUUUCAUUGCUGGUUCUGCCACUGCCCGACGUGGUGAAGAUGCAUGAAGUAGAAGGAAAGACAGAUGGAUCUUCUCCAACUGAGAGGGUUAUUGCUCACCAAACACGUUUCCACCAGAGAGACAUUUAUGUUUUCUGGCUGAGAGUUAGAAGCAACCAUAAAUACAUGGUAAGCCAGUCACUGCUGUUCAGCAACGCUUCUGUUAAUUUGCAUAGGGCCUAUCUAAUGAUGUUGGCCUAUAAAACACAAAGAUUACAUCUCCUGAAUCACUCUCUGUUCUGAAAAUGACUCAUAGUUCCAAAAGAUUGGUUUAAACUUAAACAAAAGCGAGAAGGUGCAA
rnacentral:lncRNA from 1 species